GCUCAGUGAAAAUUUCAUCACCGUCGUUGACAGUUCAGUCAAAAUUCUCUAGCUCCACGCAAUUCGCCCAGCCAAAUCUCAAAAUUAUCUAAACUACAUUUUGUGUUCACUUUUGAUCAUUCAAAGUCAUCGCUUAACGUUCAUUCGCCAUUCAAGUGGAAAUUUAAACGCGUGGGCAGGAAUAUUCCAGUGGAUUUCUUGCUUUUUAACGGUAAAGAAAAGAGCAAUUGCCAAAAAAUCGAAACACGGCGAAAGGAGAAAAAAAAAACAUAAGAAAUUUCUGUAUCAGCCAGUCAGCGUUAUUUGCACCAAGUAUUAAAGAAGCGCCCGAAUAGGUUGAAAAUCGCUGUGAAAACGAAGUGAAAAACCCGCGCAACACGGAGCCCAACUGUUCGACUUAAUUGUCGACCUCUUCCAAUAUUAGCGCCAUCGCAACUGCUGGGUGUGGGCGAAUCUGCGCCCCGCCACCGGAGCCGAAAAGCAGCACCCUGAAUUUCUCGUCGUUCAAAUCAAGCUUCACUUCCAAUGUUAAUUUCCUGAAGAGAAGGUAAAGACCUUAAAAAAGGAAGUGCCCCGAAGGCCUUUUGAAUCUAAAAGGGUUUGGGGCUCAGUUGAACGAAACUAAUUUGAAAUUUCAUAUGUUCGUCUAUUUCUCUCUCUCUCUCUCUUUCUGUUUUUCCGUCAACUGCGGUUUUCCCUACCGCUCCAAUUGUUUUUCUCAUCCUCCACAAAUCCACACUCAACUGCGCUGCACAAAAAUUUAAACCUGUCAACUUGUCUGGCGGUUGGAAAACCCCCACCAAAAAAUAUCAAUCAAUCAAUCAAUUGCCAACACACUCGAACACCGAACA